rnacentral:rRNA from 1 species
GACAGAGGGUGCAAACGUUGCUCGGAAUUACUGGGCGUAAAGCGCGUGUAGGCGGGAAGAUAAGUCGGGUGUGAAAUCCCUGGGCUCAACCUAGGAAGUGCAUUCGAAACUGCAGAGCUGGAGUCCUGGAGAGGAAGGCGGAAUUCUCGGUGUAGAGGUGAAAUUCGUAGAUAUCGAGAGGAACACCGGUGGCGAAGGCGGCCUUCUGGACAGUGACUGACGCUGAGACGGCGAAAAGCGUGGGGAGCAAACAGGG